AAUGGGCGGAAGCCUGAACCAGCCAAGUAGCGUGCAGGAUGACGGCCCUAUGGGUUGUAAACUGCUUUUAUACAGGAAUAAAGUUAGCCACGUGUGGUUAUUUGUAGGUACUGUAUGAAUAAGGACCGGCUAAUUCCGUGCCAGCAGCCGCGGUAAUACGGAAGGUCCAGGCGUUAUCCGGAUUUAUUGGGUUUAAAGGGAGCGUAGGCCGUCUGUUAAGCGUGUUGUGAAAUGUAGAUGCUCAACAUCUGAAUUGCAGCGCGAACUGGCAGACUUGAGUGUGCGCAACGUAGGCGGAAUUCGUGGUGUAGCGGUGAAAUGCUUAGAUAUCACGAAGAACUCCGAUUGCGAAGGCAGCUUACGGGAGCACAACUGACGCUGAAGCUCGAAAGUGCGGGUAUCGAA
rnacentral:rRNA from 1 species